rfam:Nomascus leucogenys chromosome 10, whole genome shotgun sequence.
AUUGCUUCUUGGCUUCUUGGCUAAGAUGAAGUGUAGUAUUUGCUUUUAGUAGUUGUCUACUAUGGUCUGAAUCUGUCCCCUCUUCCUCCCAAAUUUGAAAUCCUAACCCCUU